rnacentral:misc_RNA from 1 species
UGGACCAUGGAAGAGGCAGAGAUCCUGCAAAUAAAAUCAUUAUCAAAUGGGAACUUAAAAUCUACAUUAAUGCCAAAUUCACAGUAAAGGCAAAAUCUGUUAAUGCAAAUUCAGACUCCGGCCAUGCUAGAAAAAGAUGAUAUAGUGUCACAAAGAAAUAUUUUCAUAUUUUCAUGUAGUGCCUCAUCCAAUGAAACCACACAUAUCCAGAGUCUUCAGCGUGGGAAAAUAGAUUCACAUAUACAUAAACAAGCAUGCGCAAACAGAAGUGUUCAGAAUAUACUUGUCCAGUUUGCAUAAACAUUAUAAAUAGAUAUCUUGUCAAUUUUAUUAUACAUAAAAACAAUUAUUUUGCAAGUAUCACAAACCACUCAUGAGUAACAAGAAAACAAAAAUUGCUAGGACAAGCUGGCAUGCACAUCCUUGAUCCUACUUUACUUUCAUAUAAGAAGCUCAAAAACUUCAGCAACAGGAUGUGAAAAGAGGUGACUAGAAAAUUAAAAAAAUGAAAACGAAAGGAGGGGAGGGGGGGUAGGGGGAUAGGAGGGGCAGUUACUUCUAAAUAGGUGGUUCUCGAGG